rnacentral:lncRNA from 1 species
AAGAUCAAACGGUACACAGGACGUGCCUCCAACUCUCUCGCUAGAAAUUCAAAAAAAAAAAUAAGAAAGAUCAUGGAGACCCUCUUAUACUCAACAUUCCUUCCAUUUUUCUUUUUCCUUUUUAUUUUAUUUUCCCUGGAAAACAUUUGACAUUGCACAGAGAGAGAGAGAGAGAGGACCUCCAUUAUCGUUUUAUUUUCACAUUUGACAUUGUCAGAUUUAUAAUUCCGUAAUGGAAUGCAUUUCUCCUCUCUCUCCAGCUUAUUUCCAGGCCCUAGCUUUCAUAAACUCUGACUUCUUGUAAUUACUAUUAUUAUUUUUUUUGUAAAUUGGAGAUCUAUUUUUCAGAUUUUAAUUAUUAGUUGUUUCCAGUUGCAGAGUGGAAAUAUAAUUUAUUUUCAUCUGAUUAUUCAAUUGUAUCUGUUAGAGUUAUUCUUUAUCGAUUCAUAGUUUCAUUCAUUAGAGACUUUCUGAGUGUUGUUUCUGGGGAAGAAUCAGAAUCAGAACAAGAAAAUGUCUGACUCGCCGACUUCUUCCCCACCAGCCCCCUCCGCCGACUCCGUUCCACCGCCGGAUAACUCCACCGGUGGUUCUGCUCCUCCACCUACUGAUUCCUCACCACCUCCUUCCCCACCGGCUGACUCAGCACCGCCGCCGAGUACCCCGUCUCCACCGCCGGCGUCUCCUCCUCCGGAAUCCAAUCCCCCGCCUGAUUCCUCACCCCCUCCUCCCCCGGAUGCUCCACCUCCUUCUGAUCCUCUACCACCGGUUGACUCCGGUUCUCCACCACCGGAGCCCACAAACUCUCCUCCUCCUCCCCCUGAGGAAUUUGAAUCACCACCACCACCUCCACCGAAUGAAGACAACACCUCUCCUCCUUCACCUCCGGAACAACCACCUCCUCCUCCUCCUCAGGCGCCUUCACCAAAGGGAGGACCCAAAAACCCGAAAAAAUCACUACCACCAGCCAAUUCUCCUCCGGCUCCUCCAAAUGCGCCUUCCCACGCACUACCACCCAAGUCCACCGGUGCAGGAGGACCUCUCAAAUCCCCUUCUCGCGGCGUCCCCAGCUUCCCACCACCUCCUCCAACCAGCAAUGACGGUGGCUAUCAAGGGAAGAAAGCAAAGAAACUUUAAAGAGCAAAAACGCUUUUGAAGCAAAUACUUGUUUAGGGUUUGUAUAUUGAUUAUGUAAAUGAAUAAUUUACAAUCCUUUAGAUUCAUAUUUAUAGCAGCCUCAAAACCCCGAUUUACUAAUUCAGGUGCUAUUAAUGACCUUACAAAAUGCUCCACCUCGACUUGACUAUGAUAGAGACAAGAAAUUCUCAAAGGUAAGUGAGAGACUAAUUGAUUUGCAACAUAAAGAAGUAGAUUCCAUUUUUCUUUCACUGAGAAAAAGGAACUGUUUCUGUUGUACGCAGUCGUUUAGAGAGUUGAUCGCAGCCUGUUUGGUUAAAGAUCCAAAGAAGCGUCCAACCGCAGCAAAACUUCUGAAGCACCCUUUCUUCAAACAUGCACGGUCCACAGAUUAUCUGUCCCGUAAAAUUCUGCAUGGUCUUUCUCCACUUGGUGAACGUUUUAAAAAGCUCAAGGUAAAGUUGAUAAUAACGUAGAUGUGAUUGAAGCUGUGCAACAUCUCUUUACGUUUGUCUUUAUAGGAGACAGAAGCUGAGUUGUUUAAAGGCAUAAAUGGGGACAGAGAACACGAGUAUAUGCGGGGGAUUAGUGCUUGGAACUUUGAUCUCCAAGACUUGAGGAAGCAGGCAUCACUUGUAAGUAAGGUCAUGUCUUCUUAAGUAGUAAAAGUAAAACUUGUUCUUUUGCACCUUCUCAGUGGUUCAAUGUUUCUGCUAUAUCAGAAUCCAGAUAAUGAAAUGUGCAGUUCAGAGAGUCAGGAUGUUGGGGUUGAUGUGCCAAAGAGAAACCCAAUGAUACAAAGGUCAAAGACUAUGUCUUUGGAGAUGUUCAAAAUCUCAGACAAGGCAAAGUGUCUUUUCCUUCAUAUCUCUGUGUGAAUAUUCUGUACUCCGGCUAAACCUCUCUUGCUAAUAUCCAACUUUUCAGGAUCUGAUGAGUGCGAGUAACAGUCUAACAAUAGGUCCAUUGCUUCCUUCAUUUCGCCGCAAGUUCCUCCCUGCUAUUGGGUACUUUUGCAACGUUUCUCUUUUCUACACAUUCUUAGAUCGUCACUGUGGAGUCCUGAAUUGGUUUGCUGUGUCUGUUUUGUUGAUCUGAUCAGUCUUGACUACGAAUUUUCAGAGUUAUAUACUUGAAAUCCCAUUGGUUUGCUUGUAGUACAACUUUUGAAAGAAACGUAUUGGAUGCAGAUAUAAAGUUGGCAUCCUUUCUGAUGAAAGCAAUGCAUGUCGCAAAAGAGCUGCAGAGGCCCUCGCUCUUGAAGAGCCCAAUCAACUAGAAACAUUAGCGGUGGAUACCAAGCAGACACCUGUUCUUGAAGAGAUACAUCAACUAGAACCAAUAACGGAUACAAAGCACAUGCUAGCUCUUCAAAAACCAAAAAAUGGCUACAGAGUUAGUUCUGUGAGCCGGGCGUCUUGCACAGCGAAUGAAGUCCUACCACUGUUACAGAGUCUCCUGGAUCAGAAUGACAUUCAGAGGGUGUGUGGCCUUAUUCUAAAUGCUUCUUGUAAAAAUAUACUCUCCUGAAAUGGUUUAUUUGGAUUUUAACUUGUGAGUCUUCACAUUAUAUUUUUUUGCAGGAGAAAGUAAUCAGAUUAAUUAGAUUUUUUGAUGGAACUGUCUCCGGUAAUGUCUCUGUCUCGCACAUCUCUAUCAGUUUCAGUUACUGUCUUUUGGACUAAUGUGUUUUCAUGACCUUUGUGCAGAAACUCAAAAUUCAACCUCGAAAAACAAAGGAAUGCAGGUAUGUUCAUGUGACUUAUGUGGAUGUCUUAAGUACUUGAUCAUCACAAACUAAAGAGCAUGAAUGAAUAUAUUCACAGAUAAAUCCAUCAAGGGAGAGAGAACUACAAUCUCAAGUUAAUUUCUUGGAGCAAAGGUAAUCAUAUAACUUCUUUCCCUUUGUUUGUUUUGUUUUUUGAUUAAGAUUUGAUUAGUAAGUUGAGUGUUCUACGAGUUUUCAGUGUUGAGAUACUUGUAGAGGAAGUGAAGAGAAGAAAAGAAAUAAAUGAUCAGGUAAAAAAAAAGGAUUAAAACAUAAAUGAAUAUUAGAGAUCAUAAUAGUAACUAUAAAACUAAAAUGUUGAUCUGUUUUUUGCAGCUAGAAGAACAUAUCAGAUCUCUAACUAGUAGCAGCAGCAGGAACAAUAGCAGAUCAGGAGCUUAAUUAACCAUCCUCUUUUUGUCUCUUCCAAGAGAAGGAGGGAGACUAUUCUUUUUGUGUAUUCAACUUUUAAUAAUAUUCAUAAUAAUUACGUAGAAUCACACUUUUAUUCUACAAAAUAAAUUAAAUUAGAUUAUAUUUUCACAAACCUUUUUAAGGUAUGUAUAUAUAUAUAUUGACUUAUGCUAUAGAGUAUAGACCCUUCCCAAAGAAAGCGAAAGACAUUGCUUCACAAGAAAAAAAUUAUAUUGACGUAAAGCAAAAUUAAUGUGUAACAAGAAUUGGUAAAAGGAAACUUACUAUGAUCAAAUAUUCAAAUACCAUCCUUGAUUAUAUACAAAAGAGGUCCGUCUACAACUACUUCCCUAGCUCUCUAGCUGCUCUCUCCCCAGCUUCCGUUUCAACCCAAAAAAAAAGGAACCAGAAGAUGAAUCCGUUUGACAAUUUACAGUCAGUUAGUUAUAGGUUAGGUUUAGUGAGUGCAACGUUAAGAAGCAAAGGCUUGGAGAACAAGGAUUCUCCUAUUCUCACUUCCUUGUGUGUUCUUCAAUUGCCAUUCUCCUAUCAACAUUGUUUCUUUCCAAUGGAAAACGACUUUCCAAAUCCAGAAUGAAUAGGCCCACAAAGAUAUGGGCUUUACAAAAUCUGGUCCAUGACUAUCUCAAUUAUGUUUCCGGUUCUGGGAAGUAAUCAUAGUCUGAUGUGGCAGAACUCAAACGCGUAACCGGGUCGGGUUUGAAAGAAUAGAAAGAAAGAAACCAUUAAAUUUGCGCGGUAACCCGGGUAUGAAGGAGAGAGAGAGAGACUCUCUCAAACUCUCAGAAAAGGGAAACAAAUAAUAUAAUAGGAGAGAAGAUCAAACGGUACACAGGACGUGCCUCCAACUCUCUCGCUAGAAAUUCAAAAAAAAAAAUAAGAAAGAUCAUGGAGACCCUCUUAUACUCAACAUUCCUUCCAUUUUUCUUUUUCCUUUUUAUUUUAUUUUCCCUGGAAAACAUUUGACAUUGCACAGAGAGAGAGAGAGAGAGGACCUCCAUUAUCGUUUUAUUUUCACAUUUGACAUUGUCAGAUUUAUAAUUCCGUAAUGGAAUGCAUUUCUCCUCUCUCUCCAGCUUAUUUCCAGGCCCUAGCUUUCAUAAACUCUGACUUCUUGUAAUUACUAUUAUUAUUUUUUUUGUAAAUUGGAGAUCUAUUUUUCAGAUUUUAAUUAUUAGUUGUUUCCAGUUGCAGAGUGGAAAUAUAAUUUAUUUUCAUCUGAUUAUUCAAUUGUAUCUGUUAGAGUUAUUCUUUAUCGAUUCAUAGUUUCAUUCAUUAGAGACUUUCUGAGUGUUGUUUCUGGGGAAGAAUCAGAAUCAGAACAAGAAAAUGUCUGACUCGCCGACUUCUUCCCCACCAGCCCCCUCCGCCGACUCCAGUCCGCCGCCAGAUAACUCCACCGGUGGUUCUGCUCCUCCACCUACUGAUUCCUCACCACCUCCUUCCCCACCGGCUGACUCAGCACCGCCGCCGAGUAUCCCAUUUUUUUAACAAAAACAUUGAAGUGUUUAUGUUACCAAGCAGGAACCCCAGAGUUCAUGGCACCUGAGCUUUACGAUGAGAUCUACACCGAGCUAGCUGAUAUCUAUUCAUUUGGGAUGUGUAUGUUGGAGAUGGUGACAUUUGAAUACCCAUAUUGUGAGUGCAGAAACUCUGCUCAGAUCUACAAGAAGGUCUCAUCGGUGAGUUAGAAACAAAAGUCAUAUAUCCCAUAUUAUACUAGUUUAGUGACUACGUUGUUCAAAAAAAAAAAAAAAAAAAAACCAUUUUAAAAAUCAUGCAGAUGUAAUUUUUUGUACGGUCAGAUCUUGAUCAAUCUCUCGUCUUUGUGUUCUGUCUUAAAAACACUAACACUAACACCUUUUGUAAAAUCAUGUAGAUGGAUUUUUAUACGGACAGAAUACGACAAAAGGAGGGUACUCUGGUCCUGGUGGCUACAACACAAAGCAACAAUCCAAUAACAGCUUCGGGAGCCAAAGAGGGAGUACACCUGAUUCAGCUGUGAUGGGAAGUGGUCAAACGCAUUUCACCACCACCACCUCCACCGAAUGAAGACAACACCUCUCCUCCUUCACCUCCGGAACAACCACCUCCUCCUCCUCCUCAGGCGCCUUCACCAAAGGGAGGACCCAAAAACCCGAAAAAAUCACUACCACCAGCCAAUUCUCCUCCGGCUCCUCCAAAUGCGCCUUCCCACGCACUACCACCCAAGUCCACCGGUGCAGGAGGACCUCUCAAAUCCCCUUCUCGCGGCGUCCCCAGCUUCCCGCCGCCUCCUCCAACCAGCAAUGACGGUGGCUAUCAAGGCAAGACUAUGGCCGGCAUGGCAGUCGCCGGAUUCGCAAUCAUCGCCUUGAUCGCCGUCGUGUUCUUAGU